rnacentral:sRNA from 1 species
GAGUUAACUCCAACCCCUGUGACAUACCUAUACGUUGCCUCGGCGGAUCAGCCCGCGCCCUGUAAAAAGGGACGGCCCGCCCGAGGACCCUAAACUCUGUUUUUAGUGGAACUUCUGAGUAAAACAAACAAAUAAAUCAAAACUUUCAACAACGGAUCUCUUGGUUCUGGCAUCGAUGAAGAACGCAGCAAAAUGCGAUAAGUAAUGUGAAUUGCAGAAUUCAGUGAAUCAUCGAAUCUUUGAACGCACAUUGCGCCCGCCAGUAUUCUGGCGGGCAUGCCUGUUCGAGCGUCAUUUCAACCCUCAAGCUCAGCUUGGUGUUGGGACUCGCGGUAACCCGCGUUCCCCAAAUCGAUUGGCGGUCACGUCGAGCUUCCAUAGCGUAGUAAUCAUACACCUCGUUACUGGUAAUCGUCGCGGCCACGCCGUAAAACCCCAACUUCUGAAUGUUGACCUCGGAUCAGGUAGGAAUACCCGCUGAACUUAAGCAUAUCAAUAAGCGGAGGA